GACGAACGCUGGCGGCGUGCUUAACACAUGCAAGUCGAACGGAAAGGCCCUGCUUUUGUGGGGUGCUCGAGUGGCGAACGGGUGAGUAACACGUGAGUAACCUGCCCUUGACUUUGGGAUAACUUCAGGAAACUGGGGCUAAUACCGGAUAGGAGCUCCUGCUGCAUGGUGGGGGCUGGAAAGUUUCGGCGGUUGGGGAUGGACUCGCGGCUUAUCAGCUUGUUGGUGGGGUAGUGGCUUACCAAGGCUUUGACGGGUAGCCGGCCUGCGAGGGUGACCGGCCACAUUGGGACUGAGAUGCGGCCCAGACUCCUACGGGAGGCAGCAGUGGGGAAUAUUGCACAAUGGGCGGAAGCCUGAUGCAGCAACGCCGCGUGCGGGAUGACGGCCUUCGGGUUGUAAACCGCUUUCGCCUGUGACGAAGCGUGAGUGACGGUAAUGGGUAAAGAAGCACCGGCUAACUACGUG
rnacentral:rRNA from 1 species